GGGGGCACUUGGCGGGGCUUGGCAGGGCUCAGCCGUGGGCAGAGCUGGCCCCAGGUCCUGAUGUGUCCCUGUUCCCCGCAGGGUGACAGCCCUGACCCAGACUGUGUGGGCGAUCCCGGGCUGCCAGGCACUCCGGGCAUCCCCGGCGAGAGAGGCGAGCAGGGCUCACCGGGACUGCGGGGACCCCCAGGACCACCCGGGCCCAUCGGUCUCCAGGGGGAACGCGGCCCUGCCGGGCUCGCUGGAGCCAAAGGGGAGCCGGGACCCCCCGGGCAGCCUGGCUACCCCGGUGCGACGGGCCCCCCCGGCCUUCCCGGCAUCAAAGGUGAGCGAGGCUACGUGGGUCCCCCUGGAGAGAAAGGGGAACUGGUGAGUCCCUCGGGGCCGUGCUUCAGGGACAGAGGGGCUGGGGCUCUCCGAGGUGCCCCCCCUCUCCGUGUGCACUGGGGCUGAGGU
rnacentral:lncRNA from 1 species